GGUCCAGCAGCAAGCGGCGGCGGCAGGAGUUCCAGCCUCUCUCGGGGCCGUGCAGCUGGAAACGGCGGCGAAGUCCACUCAGAUCACCUCCUUGGUGACAGCUCUCAGCUAAGAAGGCUGGCUAAAGGAAAGCUGCAAUUUCUGGAGAACCAUUUACCAUGAAAUAUAAUGAGGAUUGGCCAAUCCCAGCAAGCAGGAUUGAUUUUGAAUGGAAAUGGCAUCACAGAAGUACUGUGCUCACGCCAAAAGAAACUACUGAACUGGAAACAAAGCACCAGAACAAGUUUAAAGAAGACCUUUUAAUGUUUUGGUUCGCAGUUAUUGUGGAAGCUGUUUUUUUCACAAAUUCCUGUGCCGCAAAAAGAUGUUAAACCUGAAUAAGAUUUAAAUAUGCACCAUGGCAUAUAUAUUUUAAUAUGUAAUAUAUGUAAUAUAUGCAUAUAUAUUUUAAAUAUGUACCAUGGCAUAUAUAUUUUAAAAUGCUUAUGUGUAUGUAUUUAUGUCUGACUAAUAUAUGAGAAAUCACUAACACUGUCUUCCUAAUAAAAUGGGGCUGGUGGUGAAUAAUUUUGAAUUCCAUUAUUAUCAAAGACAUUGCAAACAAAUUGCAAACAAAUUUUAUCAAAGAUAUUGCGAACAACAUGGAUUAUUGUGCAAUAUAAAAGUUAAAGGCUAUUUCAUCCUUGUGUAUGUAUCUAUAGCAAAAGUCUGACUGUCUAUCUAUCAUUUCUUAAUUUGUGGUACAAUAUAAGAUUUUAUAUACAUUGAUAUUUUUGCUCCAAUGUUAACAGAAUUAAGAAUGGACACCCACAGAAUGAAAUGGAAUCAUUGGGUGCUAUAUGUGAGAGAAUAGUCUCAUAUUAUAUAAACAAUUAUGCUGUUGUGGAGAUGCACAGUACAUAUAAACUGUCCAGGUAUAUUAUGAUGUGGUCCUCCUCCUCCUUAAAAAUGUUGUUAAUGGCUAGGAAUCAAGGAUGAAAAAGUCCAGUCCUAUUGGAGAAAAUAAAGCAUAUAUGAAUGGAAACACAGCAACAACUUAUCAUUCAUUUUAUUCUAGAGCAGCUGCAUAGCUUUCAGGGGACAUGGUUGAUACAAAAAUUAGUUGAAAGAGAGGUUAUAUCAUAGGUAUAUCAUUAUAUUAUAGGUUAUAUCAUUAUAUUAUAGGUUUUAUCAUUAUAUCAAAAAUUCUCCCUUCCAUCAGCCCCACAGGUGAGGUGAGCUCAAUUAAUGGUGGUUUUCAUUUUUUCUUUUUCAUUCCAGUGUUGACCAUGCUUGCUGAUCAUUUUUCCUCACAGAGAAAAGGAAAUGAUGAAAGAUAAUCAUUUAGGGAAGUAUAGAGUGGUUUCAAGAGGCUGAGCAGCUGAUCAAGAAUAUUAAAAAUACUGGAAAAAACAACUAUAGAAGAAGUUAGAGGAAGCUGGGUAGAAUGGGAGAGCCCUUUAUGAAGAAACAAUUUUUACUAUUACUUACUAUUUCCACUAGGUCAUCUGAGUUUUAGAGAUGGAUCAGUUUAUCAGCACAAUAAUAUCUGUGAAAGGUAGACUAAUUUAUUUUUAACUUGAUUUCAUUCCGUAGAAUUUAAUUAAUAUGAAACGCUCAUAUAUUUAUUUUGGGAAGAAAAAAUGAAGCAUUGUUUCUUGAUAUAAGAAAGCUUUUAAAGACAAUAUUUUAAACAUUCUGUGAAGUUGUUCUUUUUGGAUCAAAACAUAGAAGCAUCCUCUUCCCAUUUCUCUUCUAGUAGAGAAGUGAUCUUUUUGAAGGCAUUGUACAGAAUGUUAGGAUGCAAUUGAGGAGGAGAAGGGCCAUAAUUUAGUGGCUGACCUAGGGAAGACCCUGUUUGAAAUCCCGGAGAGGAGCUGCUGCUUUCACUUAGGGUAGACAAUAUUGACCAUUGGUCUGAUUUAGUGGGGCUGUUCACAUGACUGUGCAUGCACGUGGUUGGGAGGGUGGGGGAGGGAGGAAGGAUUCAACCUGCCUUCCUCCAUAUGACCGUUCACUGUUUGGGCAGUGCGCAAGGCAUGCGCCCACACGACCAGUGCUACUGAGAUCAGCACUGAUGAAUCUCCAUGCUGCUCCCAGAAGCACAGGUAAACAUAGGCUGGGACUCGUUGUCCCAUUUCAUCCCACAAUGCAGCAUGCAAUACACACAUUGCAUUGGGGAAUUGCCCCAAGAGAUGGGCGCUCUAGGCGCCCAUCUCUCUGUGUGGCUGGGCUGGAAGCAGCCCAUGCUUAGACAUGAGCAGGUAGCUUGGGGAAAGAGAGCACUUGAUCCCUUAACCUUGGCUAACAGCCGGGCUUAAAAGCCAGGCUAGACAGCGCUGGCCUGCCAUGAUCAGGCUCAAUCCCAGCAGUUCUCAUGCACAGCCUAACCCAGACUGGGUGUCCAUCGCCCGGGUUAGACUGCACAUGAGAAAAGCCUCAUCAUCAGCUUCAUAGUCACAUCUUCAGCUUCACACUCACUGAAGUAUCAGUGAGAUACUUCACUGUAUCUCUCAGUCUCUUACCUCAGGGGAUUGUUGUGAGGACAGACAUAACCAUGUACACUGCUCUGAGCUCCUUGGACGAAGAGCAGGAUAUAAAUGUAAAAAUAAAUACAUAAAUAUAAUGUAGAGUCAUUGGAUAACACUGAACUGGAGGUAGGAUUAAAUGAAAUCUUCUAAAAUGGCAGGGUUUGUUUUUCUCUGUGGCCCCUAGCCCCAAAUACAACUGUGUUUCUGAAUUUGAAAUGGGAGGGUAAUGAGGUCUGGUCAAGAACAGCUUGACUGGGCCAAAUUUUUUUUGAUGUUUAAAGAAAAACAGGGAGGCUGAAAGAGGCCCUCCUUGAUAACAUGUAUGGAUAAUGGAAAGUCUACUAUUCAGUUUGAUAGUAAGUACUCCUGAUAUGUAAAAUUAAUAAAAUUGCUGUUUAGCAAAAAA